GCUGGAGAGAUGGAGAGCAGUCAGCCAGGGGGCUUCGGGGAAGAUGGGCAGGGACGGCUCCUGCCAGCCCUACAAGCCCCCGAGCUGCUCAGGAUGUCAGGAACGGGAGCAGCUGAGAUGCUCGAGGCUUAGUGCAGCUCUCCGAGGGUACUCACGGUCUCUGUAUCUCACUCCUGCCACCUCUUCUGGCUGCUCGGCGGAGCUCAGCAGGGUCAGCGGGUUGUGCUGCGCGGUUCUGCAGAAGCUGUGGGCCUGCAGGUUAGGAUCCAGCUCGUACGGGUGACCUUCAUAAAAAUAUUCUUGAUGGUGGGGAGCUAUGCUCGUUUGUUUGAAGACAGCGUCUAAAAAUUUGCUGGUACUGAAAAU